rnacentral:tRNA from 1 species
AGGUGUGUGGCUUAGUGGUCGUGCGGCUAAGGUCACCAAGCCUUUAGUCGCAAGGAGCGCGGGUUCGAUUCCCGCCGCAGCUG